rnacentral:rRNA from 1 species
GACGAACGCUGGCGGCGUGCUUAACACAUGCAAGUCGAACGGUAAGGCCCUUCGGGGUACACGAGUGGCGAACGGGUGAGUAACACGUGGGUGAUCUGCCCUGCACUUCGGGAUAAGCCUGGGAAACUGGGUCUAAUACCGGAUAGGACCACUGCCUGCAUGGGUGGUGGUGGAAAGCUUUUGCGGUGUGGGAUGGGCCCGCGGCCUAUCAGCUUGUGGGUGGGGUGAUGGCCUACCAAGGCGACGAAGUGUAGCCGGCCUGAGAGGGUGACCGGCCGCACUGGGACUGCGAUACGGACCAGACGCCUACGGGAGGCAGCAGUGGGGAAUAUUGCACAAUGGGCGCAAGCCUGAUGCAGCGACGCCGCGUGAGGGAGGACGGCCUUCGGGUUGUAGCCCUCUUUCAGCACCGACGAAGCGCAAGUGACGUAAGGUGCAGAAGAAGGACCGGCCAACUACGUGCCUGCCGCCGCGGUAA